AACGAACGCUGGCGGCAUGCCUAAUACAUGCAAGUCGAACGCUUGGGAGCAAUCCCAAGAGUGGCGGACGGGUGAGUAACGCGUGGGAACCUGCCCUUGAGUGCGGGAUAACCGAGGGAAACUUCGGCUAAUACCGCAUGCGCCCGGAGCAAUCCGGGGAAAGAUUUAUCGCUCGAGGAGGGGCCCGCGUCGGAUUAGCUAGUUGGUGGGGUAACGGCCUACCAAGGCGAUGAUCCGUAGCUGGUCUGAGAGGAUGAUCAGCCACACUGGGACUGAGACACGGCCCAGACUCCUACGGGAGGCAGCAGUAGGGAAUAUUGGACAAUGGGGGCAACCCUGAUCCAGCAAUGCCGCGUGAGUGAUGAAGGCCUUAGGGUUGUAAAGCUCUUUCGCGCGCGACGAUGAUGACGGUAGCGCGAGAAGAAGCCCCGGCUAACUUCGUGCCAGCAGCCGCGGUAACAC
rnacentral:rRNA from 1 species